AUUUUAAUAAUCUUAAAAUGGAUAUAAUAAACUUAUCGAAAAAUGUUUGUAGUGGAGGAGUUAUUAACAAUUCGUAUGGAACGUGUAAAUUUAAUGUUUGCUUAUCUUUAUUCUCCUCUCUCUUUUGGAUAUAUAAAUAAUAUAAUUAUAUAACUGUAAUUGUAUUUGAAUAAUAAUAAAAAAGAUUAUAUAAACUCACAUCUUCAAUAUUAAAAGUAUUAACGCAUCAUGCGUCCGUCCAGAAGCUUAAUUGAAACAGAAAUUAAUAUUUAAUUGAUUUUAUUAUUCAUCUUUUAUCUAUCUAUACCAAAGAAAAGUGCUAUGUAUCGUAAUGCUAAUCAAUCAUCCGUAUUGUUAAGAUUUUUAUAAUCUGAUCGACGCUUAUACAAGAUCCGUGUGCAAUAAGUAUUGUUUUUGUUGUUAAUAUAUCAUUUAAAUGUUGUUUAAUUAUUUGAAAAUAUACGCACGUUGUUUUUUAUUAUUUUAGCACACAUGUUUCUCGGUAACUUAAUUAUUGAAUUUUAUACAUUUUGUGUCGAAUGUUAUGUAAUUGAUGUCAAUAGCUGUAUUGUUAUCUUCACAAUUUCUGUAGUCCAUUCCACGGAACGAGUUCCUAAAGGGAUAUGUUCUUGUGCGCUCAAUGGUUAGUACGCACGUCCUGUAUUGGUCAAAUUAUUUCUUAAACAAUUGUCUUACACGCCGACCAAUGAGGUGCAUGUAUUUUGUUCCCUAGCAGUUCGACUCGUGGAAUGAACUGUAGCUAAGUUUUAUUACGUUAAGGCAUGUUUAUAUUUUAUUUUUCAUUUGUUGUAUAUAUUUAUCGAAAUUGUACAAAAUAUAACUUAAAAUAUAAUAAUGAUAUAAGAAACAUUAAUACAGUAAUUGCUUUAACAAGUUUUUUUUUUAUGUCAGUAAUUCAACGAAUGAUGUAAACCUUUGGCAUUAAUACGGUUACUCAAGAAAUAUAUUCGCCAACUAACCAUUCGCCUGUCAUGUUUGGAAGCGGAUAUUUAUUUUAGUUUAAUUCCAAAAGUAAUCAUUCUUAUUCUAUAGAGUAUUAUAUUUUGUACUAUUUGGUAUAUUUUUAAUAGCAAGGAAGGUGAUACAAACCAUUUUGUAAGAUAAAUCGGUCUUUUGAUAAUCCCUUUCUUGUAUUAUUUAUUUUAUAAAUGUAUAACAUUUUAAUUGCAAUUUUUAAUCUGUAUUGAUAUUAUGUAUCGCAUGUUAAGUAUAUAUGAUUGAUACGAAGUAAUUUUAAAUAUUAUAUUUAAUAAUAUACAUAAUACUUGAAAUUCUGAAGCGUACGAAACUUUCCAAUUUCGUAACAUAUAAUUUCUUUAUCGAUAACAUAUAUUUAUUAUUUUGGAUGGAUCAAAAUAAUAAAUGCCAAACAUAAUUAAUUCCUUUUAACAGCGUAGUGCCAAAACUACACGAACUUCCUACAUCAUUUUGAAUAUAACUUUUAAAUAACAUUAUGUUUUUAAAUUUGUAAUGGAAACUUAAACAUCCUUACUGUUUCAACAUGAUAUUUAUAACGCCAACUAUUACAUAAUUUAUCUAAACUUCCACCUAAAAACCAUACUAUCUAUGUAGUAAACUCUAGUGAUGUAUUUUCAAUACUAGUACAUGUUAUAGUUCAAAUAUAUCACGUAGUUGAGUUCUGCCGAAUCAAUUUAAAUAAACUUUCCUAGUAAUUUUUAUAGGGUUUUUCUAAAUAGAAACGUUGAAUAGAUGUUCAUUACAUCCUUAGAUCGGAAUUUAAGUAAUAUUUCUGUGAAUAAUGUUGUUGUCAAUGAGAGUGCAUUUAUUUUGUUUGUAUCGGAUUUUAUAUGUAAGUUGCAUUUUUGUUUUACGCACAAGUAUUUAUAAGCGUUUGAAAGACUGUAAGUAGGCUAAGUCCUCGAGAGCUUGCUAAAAGGAAGUGAGAUUAAGAUAGGUAGGUACUAUUAUUUUUAUAUGUAAUUGUAUUUUUUACACCGCUUUUUAUAACGCCAAAUUGUCCAUUUGCAUCGUUGGCUUUGUUUAAAUGUUAUGUCCAUUGAUAUUAUUAAGUGAUAUUAUACAAAAUUAUUGUCAAUAAUAAAGUGCCGUAGAGAUCGUAAGA